rnacentral:rRNA from 1 species
AUUAUUGGGCCUAAAGCAUCCGUAGCUUGUUCUGCAAGUCUUCCGUUAAAUCCACCUGCUCAACAGAUGGGCUGCGGGAGAUACUACAGGGCUAGGAGGCGGGAGAGGCAAGCGGUACUCAGUGGGUAGGGGUAAAAUCCUCUGAUCCACUGAAGACCACCAGUGGCGAAGGCGGCUUGCCAGAACGCGCUCGACGGUGAGGGAUGAAAGCUGGGGGAGCAAACCGGAUUAGAUACCCGGGUAGUCCCAGCUGUAAACGAUGCAGACUCGGUGAUGGGUUGGCUUU